GAAUGAGGACAUACGUCAUGGUAGCUUGCUGUCACGUCACGAUUUGGGAGGUGCCUGAGCCCGUCCACCAUUUUGGCGUACCUACACUAUCGGUUGCCAGGGGCAACAGUGUAAGAGCGCUGCAUUUCAAAACACUGGACGAAAUGGAUGUGGAAACUGUGAACUGUGCUGUUCAAUUUGUUUUGUUGAGAUAGAGAAGGUGAAUCAUCGUCAGUCUGCUUGCAGUAGGAGAAUAUUCUGUCGGCAACUUUGCCCGCAACGUGCGAAGAUAACUACUGGCCUAACCUAAAGGUUGGAUAACUACUGGACUAACCUAAAGCUUUCUCCUUCUGUGUGCAGUCUUGAAGCAACCCCAUCAUCGGCAGCUGUGUCUGAUCGUCCUUCAUGUUGAAUAUACUUGUGUACAGUAUAUAGUAAUGUUUG